AUUUAGCCUAUCUAUCAAAUCCCUAGGUCCUUCUAAUCGUUCUUCUUAUCGAUUGAUGUCAGGUGACUUCCCAUCUUUGUUCAGAAGUAAUAGGAAUGUGACUUCCCUCAAGUAAGAGACCCUGCUUGCUUAUCAAUCACAGAGCUCUAGUUCUCCAUCCAUCUUAAGCAGCAAAUCGCCAUUUUUUUACUGGAGGAGAUGUCGAAACCGGAACUUCGAAGACAUGUUUAUAGUUGAGAAACACAUAUUUAAACACGGUUUCGUACCAGGCUAUUAUGUUUGGACCAUGCAUGGGGAAGCUGAAGUUAUGGCAAAUGGCGACCAGCCAGAGGUGAGGGAUCAAAUUAUGAAUGAUUCAUCAGGAAACCUGGUGCAUUUGACGAGCCUUCUACUGAAUAUCAUAGAAUGGUCCAUGAUGCUGCUGGUCCCUCAUUUAAUCCCAAUGAUAUGGAAGAAGCACCAAACCUAAUGCCCAAUAAUUUUAUAGUUUGUUGAGUUCUGCAAAUGAAGCAGUAUGGCAUGGUUGUGAAAGUCAUUCUAAGCUGUCAGCUGUUGCGUGUAUGUUGCACAUAAAGUCAGAACAUCAGCUCUCCGAAAGAUGUUUUGAUGACAUGUGUCAAUUAAUGAAAGAGUUGAUGCCAAGGGAUAACGUUAUGACACAAUUUCUA